rnacentral:rRNA from 1 species
GUCCCACCUGACUCCAUGCCGAACUCAGAAGUGAAACGCCGUAGCGCCGAUGGUAGUGUGGGGUCUCCCCAUGCGAGAGUAGGGAACUGCCAGGC